GAAGAAACAGUUUUUCAGUGCACGUAAAAUGAAAAUAGCAAAUCAUACAGGAUUAUUUAAUGUAAGUACAUAGAAAAUAUUCGCAACUGAAGAUGAGACUCUGCAGCCUCUACCAAGAGGUAAAGAAGCAGAUAAUAGGCUUAACAUGCAAGUGCAGCCAGCAGCUCUGCCUGGAAUCCAAAAAGGUUUUGUUUGAGCAUUAAAUAAAUCAAGCACCAAAGACUGCGAUUCAAGAUAAAAGAUAAUUUAUAUAACUAGACAAUCCUAAAGUUUCUCCUCAAUCUACAAGAUUCCCAAAUCCCAAUUAACAAAUUCCAACUCUAUGCCCAUCACAAAUAACACAGAGCAUACUAGUCUAACCUCUCAAGAAACAAAAUCUAUAUCUACAAGAUAAAAUGCAAUCUCUGAAAACGCAAAGUUGCAUACAUCGCUUAAAAAUAAUAGUAUAUCUUUCUAUCACCUAGGUAUCCUAUGCUUAGAAAUAUCAUAAUAAGGCAUCCAUAAAUUCCUUUGAUAAAAUAAUUUCUUCCAAAAAGGGUUUCAUCUGACUAAACAAACAUAUGGACUUGGCAAAUUUCAACCACAAGAGUGCAAAUAAAUCUUAAGGAUGGACGAAAAAGCUAGAUGAAUGUGCCAAUAAAUACACAGAAACCAAGACAGGAUGUUUUUCCGUCAUUGAUGGUAGUUUUGCAGCAG